UACGUAGGCAGCAAGCGUUGUUCGGAGUUACUGGGCGUAAAGGGUGCGUAGGCGGCCGUGUAAGUGUGGUGUGAAAUCUCCCGGCUUAACUGGGAGGGUGCGCUACAGACUGCAUGGCUAGAGUGUGGGAGAGGAAAGUGGAAUUCCUGGUGUAGCGGUGAAAAUGCGUAGAUAUCAGGAGGAACACCGGUGGUGUAAACGGCUUUCUGGACCAUAACUGACGCUGAGGAGCGAAAGCAUGGGGGAGCGAACAGG
rnacentral:rRNA from 1 species